rnacentral:lncRNA from 1 species
AGAGCUGCACAGCUGACGACAACCACGCAUGUUCGGCUGCUAAGACGACAUCCGUCACGACAGGUCCAGCAGCUCCUCCUUAGCAAGUUUGACGACCUCACUCGAGCAGUCCAAGAGAAGACGACACUAAUGGAGAACUUUCGUCGCACGAUGGAUUCCAUCGCGCUCAAAUUCUCUCCAGCUUCUGUAAGUGGAUUCUGUUCAACCACUCGCAUAUAAUCCCCCUAUAUAAUCUUAUUUAAUCAUUCUUAUAAUCGUUCAUGUAUUCUAUAGGUUAAGAUCAAUUGUUCAGGCUUAUGUAACGUUUAAAUACGUCAUUCUUUUUUACGAACUUGCCAAAAGAAAUCUAGCCAUUUAUUUCAUAGUUAAAUUGGUAUAGUAUGCACAAAAUAUAUUUCGCUGAUAAAAAAUAACCCAGCUACCAAUAUCUUGGGUUUCUCUUAAGAUCGUGGACGACAAUAACUUUUCCUCCAGGGAAGGACAUAUAAGAUGUAAAAUUUCAACUGUUAUUUUGAAAUCAGGUAUGCUCCCAAUAGCUACCGCAUUCAAGUAAUUUCCUUAUUUCUAUCUCCCUUGUUAAAAGAUAAUUUCCUAUUCGCUAUGUUCAUCAACACAUCCUUGGGGUAGCUAGGCUUCCCUUGUUCAACCCCGUAGAGACUUAUCGCCUUGGUGACGUCAAAUAGAAAGUCCUUAUAACCGCAGUCUGAACCGAGAACGAUUGUGUAUACUUUCUACUCAUUUGUACUCAACUAUAAUCUUUAAGCCACUAUACUUACUCUACAAAUAAGUACUUUAUCAAUAAUUA